rnacentral:rRNA from 1 species
AAUAGAUACCCUGGUAGUCCACGCCGUAAACGAUGAGUACUAGGUGUAGGAGGGUCCAACCUUCUGUGCCGCAGUUAACACAAUAAGUACUCCGCCUGGGAAGUACGAUCGCAAGAUUAAAACUCAAAGGAAUUGACGGGGGCCCGCACAAGCAGCGGAGCAUGUGGUUUAAUUCGAAGCAACGCGAAGAACCUUACCUGGACUUGACAUCCCCUGAAUUACUCGUAAUGGAGGAAGCCCUUCGGGGCAGGGAGACAGGUGGUGCAUGGUUGUCGUCAGCUCGUGUCGUGAGAUGUUAGGUUAAGUCCUGCAACGAGCGCAACCCUUAUCAUUAGUUGCUACCAUUAAGUUGAGCACUCUAGUGAGACUGCCCGGGUUAACCGGGAGGAAGGUGGGGAUGGCGUCAAAUCAUCAUGCCCCUUAUGUCCAGGGCUACACACGUGCUACAAUGGUGAGUACAAUUAGAUGCAAACCCGCGAGGGGGAGCCAAAACUAAAAAACUCAUCCCAGUUCGGAUUGUAGGCUGAAAACUCGCCUACA